UGGGGAAUUUUGCGCAAUGGGGGAAACCCUGACGCAGCAACGCCGCGUGAGUGAUGAAGGCCUUCGGGUCGUAAAGCUCUGUCAGAGGGGAAGAAAUGCAGGGGUGCUAAUAUCAUCUUUGCUUGACGGUACCCUCAAAGGAAGCACCGGUUAACUCCGUGCCAGCAGCCGCGGUAAUACGGAGGGUGCGAGCGUGGCUCGGUAUUAUUGGGCGUAAAGCGCGUGUAGGCGGUUUGAUAAGUCUGAUGUGAAAGCCCCGGGCUCAACCUGGGAAGUGCAUUGGAAACUGUCAGACUUGAAUACGGGAGAGGAUAGUGGAAGUCCUAGUGUAGGAGUGAAAUCCGUAGAUAUUAGGAAGAACACCGGUGGCGAAGGCGGCUACCUGGACCGCUAUUGACGCUGAGACGCGAAAGCGUGGG
rnacentral:rRNA from 1 species